GGGGCCAACAACAACAAGGAAGAGCGAGUUGAGCUUCUGCAGCUGGAUGGAGGCAAAUAUCGUAUCGCUUGGGACGUGAGAAUAGAAGUUCAUUAACCAUGGUCCUUCAGAUUCACGCCAGGAGUAGCGUUUUAGGUCCUCUAGUCUCCUUUUGUAUGAUUGAAUAAGAAGAUGAACAUUAAUGUAUUUUGUCUUUAAGGAACUAAAUGACUUAAUAUGUAAUAGUACUCCUUUUACAUUAAGUGUCGGAUAUAAAAAUGUAUUAUUCUGUAUUUGUAAUCUUAGUUUGUUUACUUGCAAUUGUUAUGAAUUAUGUGUGUUAAUGGGAAAGAAAUGAGCAUGCGAAAUGUGAGGCAUGUACCAUGAA